rnacentral:rRNA from 1 species
AGAGUUUGAUCCUGGCUCAGAACGAACGCUGGCGGCGUGCUUAAUACAUGCAAGUCGAACGUGAAGUGUAGCAAUACAUGGAAAGUGGCGAACGGGUGAGUAACACGUAAGCAAUCUGCCUCUAAGAUUGGGAUAACCCUGCCAACGCGGGGCUAAUACCGGAUGUGGUCCGGAUGACGCAUGUUGUCUGGAUUAAAGGAGUGAUCCGCUUAGAGAUGAGCUUGCGUCCCAUUAGCUAGUUGGUGCGGGUAACGGCCCACCAAGGCUGCGAUGGGUAGCCGGCCUGAGAGGGUGAUCGGCCACAUUGGGACUGAGAUACGGCCCAGACUCCUACGGGAGGCAGCAGUAGGGAAUUUUGCGCAAUGGGCGAAAGCCUGACGCAGCAACGCCGCGUGAGGGAUGACGGCCUUCGGGUUGUAAACCUCUGUUGAGUGGGAAAAAAGGGUAGCAAUACUUUGAUGGUACCAUUCGAGUAAGCACCGGCUAACUACGUGCCAGCAGCCGCGGUAAUACGUAGGGUGCAAGCGUUGUUCGGAAUCACUGGGCGUAAAGGGAGCGUAGGCGGGAUCGUAAGUUAGGAGUUUAAUGCAUGGGCUUAACCCAUGACUUGCUUUUAAUACUGCGGUUCUUGAGUAUGGGAGAGGGCGAUGGAAUUCCAGGUGUAGCGGUGGAAUGCGUAGAUAUCUGGAAGAACACCAGUAGCGAAGGCGGUCGCCUGGCCUAAUACUGACGCUGAGGCUCGAAAGCUAGGGGAGCAAACAGGAUUAGAUACCCUGGUAGUCCUAGCCGUAAACGAUGGACACUAGUUGCUGGAGGAGUCAAUCCUUUCAGUGACCAAGCUAACGCGAUAAGUGUCCCGCCUGGGAAGUACGGUCGCAAGACUGAAACUCAAAGGAAUUGACGG